rnacentral:pre_miRNA from 1 species
GUCUUACGGGCCUGAAUCUUUGUCUCAACCUUGUUUGUACAAAGGUGAGCAAAGUUUCAGGUGUGUUGGCCU